CAGCAGCAGCCGCGGGAAUACGGAGGGUGCAAGCGUUAAUCGGAAUUACUGGGCGUAAAGCGCACGCAGGCGGUCUGACAAGUCAGAUGUGAAAUCCCCGGGCUUAACCUGGGAACUGCAUUUGAAACUGUCAGGCUGGAGUCUUGUAGAGGGGGGUGGAAUUCCAGGUGUAGCGGUGAAAUGCGUAGAGAUCUGGAGGAAUACCGGUGGCGAAGGCGGCCCCCUGGACAAAGACUGACGCUCAGGUGCGAAAGCGUGGGGAGCAAACAGGAUUAGAUACCCCAGUAGUCCCUGUCUCUUAUAC
rnacentral:rRNA from 1 species